rnacentral:tRNA from 1 species
GCCUUCGUGGUCUAGUUGGUCAUGACGUCGGUCUCAUAUGGAUCUUAUGACGACCCUGCUUCAAACAGGGUGGUAAUCCGAAGGUCUCCAGUUCGAACCUGGACGAGGGCA